rnacentral:misc_RNA from 1 species
CCCACCCCUUUUCUUGGGAAUGCUUUUGGAUUUAGAUUAUGUGCUUGAUUGUAUUGUGUUGGUUAAGUGAGGAAAGCUUCUGGGUUCUACUCAAAAGGGCUUCCUUUUAACUUUUUGUCACAAUGCUCUAUUUGGUGAAGUGGAACGAUUUAGGUGGACUGAAUGUUUUAAGUUGUGUGUUUGAACUGUAUGUCUUGUUUAGCUGUUCUGGGUUUUCAUUCAUGGUUGUUCCUUCAUUUUUUUUUCUUUUGGCAGCAUAGUACUAUAGAUGAUUUGGUGCAAUAAGAUAAAGUAGAGAUUUUAUGGUUCUGUGAUUUUUUAAAGGGUUUUGAUAAAGGAGGAAUCUUUUGACUUAAUGAAGUGGAUUUUGUGAAAGAUUUUGUGUGAAUAAUUUGGGAUGUGUUUGUUUCUCAUGCCCUUGCUUAAACUGGUUGUUUCUUUCUCUUUUUUCUGUGGGCUUUCUUCAUUUAUGUUGUUUGCAUUACCUGAAUGGAUUCUUUUGUCGGAUUCUUGUUACUGAAAGCAUAAAUGGUUUGUAUUGGUAUCCUCUCCUUGUAGGCUUUGGCAUAUGGAUAGCAUCAGUAGCCUAUCUUCAUUAUCCCUCUAGAAAGCAUAGCUAGACAUAGAUUAUGAAGAGCAUGUUUAGUUUAGUUCUUCUGUCUUUGAAUUAAGUCGAUCAAUGGAAAUGGUUUCCACCGGGGAUUUACUAAAGGUUGAGAAAGAACAAGGGAAAAGUGACAUAAAAGAGAAGUUAGCUGGAUGUUAACAAAACCUUGGAUUGUUUAACGCUGAAUAUCUGAGUGAUAUCACUGUUUGAUCAGAAUGGCCAUCUUAGGGUAAGGAUUGAAAAAUGAGGGGAGGAACAAGGGUUCUGUUGUUUAUGGAAUAGCUUAACAGGAACUUUAAACCAUGAGAUAAAUUUGUCAGAUUGCGUCCAUUUUCAUGAUAUUGCUUCACAAGGCUGUCAUUAGUGGAGUUUUCUUGAAAAGAGUGCCCAAUCUUUAGAUAACAUGUUCAUAAUAAAACUGCCACAUAUUUAUUCUCUUAAUCAAUUCAAAAAAAGAAGUAUCUAUUCUCUAUUUUUUCUCUGGAAUUUGAGGAGUGGGUGGGUGUUAAAAAUCCAAUAGGACUUGUAUUUGAAUAUUGUUUCAGUCUGAACCAGUAAAAUAAGCAUUUUGGCUAGGGUGAAAAUUGGAAAUGAGAUGUGGUUGAUUUUUCCCUCUUUGAGCUUGGUUUGUUCAGAAAUAGAUAAGCAUGAGCUCUAGAUGAGACUGUAAAACUUGUGUUUGUGUAAGGUUCUCUUUCAUGAGAGGAGACAGCUUUUCCAGACAUGUAAUGAUUUGAAAUUGGUCUUUUGCAUCUGAAAUUCAAAAAAGUUGUGAAGGAAAAGCUGGUAGAUAAGCAAUGAUAAUAAAUGAGGUGAAACAACAUCAGCAUACUGGUGUCAUUCUGAAACCAUUUACUUUUUAACAAAACUAUGGGUGUUUUACCUCUUAAAAUUGCUGUGCACUUGUGGGGAAGGUCCACAUCUGAGUGUAGGGUGGAACAGUAGAACCACAUUCAUGUAUUAGAGGAUGGCAAGUGGCUUUACGAAGUUUUAUUUUUAUUUUAGGUUAAAGGCCCCAAUUUUCCCUUUAAAUUAUAACUCAGAUAGUUAAAUAGAUCUCUUAUUUUUAUUUACCUGUAAUUGAGCCGUUUAAUUUUUAAUUUCAGCCUAAUAAAUUUAAAAUUAAUAGUAUUAAUAAGUAGUGUUAAAAAAAUAAUAAAGUUGGUUAUUAACAAAUAAAUAUUAGUAUUUUUAUAUUUUGAAUAAUUAAAAAAUAUUUUUAAAAAUUAAAAUUUUUUAAUCAUUUAAAAAAUAGAUAAAAGGAAGAACCGAAACCGAAAACCCGUGUCUACUUUUUUUUUUUUCUCACCUUCCCCUUCCCUUGCUGAAAUCAGCAUUCUCUUUUACAUGCAUAUAUUAUAUGCACCCAUGGAAAAUUUUAUUUUGUUUUAGUUGUUGGCCCCUCAAAAUAAUUUUUACUUUUUUAUUACAAUAUAAGUAAUGUGAAAUAUUAUAAUCCUUUAUUUCUUGUCAUAUGUUCAAUAAAUUUUUAUAACAUUGACACCCUCAAAAAAAUAAUUCUAGUUUAAUUAUACUCUAUUUGUCACUUUUUUAAAUAUAUAAUAUUAGUCCCUUCAAAAUAUAUAAACAAUGAAUAUAAUUAAUUAUUUUUUAAAAUUAAUUUUAUAUAUAAUAUUAGCUUCCUCAAAAAAAAAAAAUUUCUGGCUCGG